AAUGAAAAACAAGAAAAAACGAAAAUUAAAAGAAAAAGGAUUUUUUACAAAUUUCCUCAUCCGAACAGUCAGCAGCAGCUGCGGAAACAUCCUGAGCAGCCACUGAAACGGCUGUGACUGUUCGGAACAACAAACUCCAUUCGUCGGUGCGGCCGGACCCCUCCGGAUUUGUUCCAGGGACACAUCGGAUUGGACUAACAUGCAAACUGGUGUGGCUUGUUCAGGAAGAAAAUCGGACCAUGCAUUCAAAAGUAAGGCGGACCAUUACUUUCAUCCAGCAGCUACAACAUGGGUUAGUUAUUCCCCAAGGCAAGCGGUUAGUGUGAAAGGUUGAUCAUAAUGUGCCACGGAGACUUCAUAAUGAAAAAGGCAUAAUGUUUCCAAUAAACAAGCAUUAAACAAUAAAUUUAAUAAAUCCGAAAAUAAUCAAAAA